rnacentral:rRNA from 1 species
UACGUAGGUGACAAGCGUUGUCCGGAUUUACUGGGCGUAAAGGGUGCGUAGGUGGCAUGGUAAGUUUGAUGUGAAAGCUCAGGGCUUAACCCUGAAAUGGCAUUGAAUACUACUGUGCUGGAGGUUUGGAGGGGGGACUGGAAUUCUUGGUGUAGCAGUGAAAUGCGUAGAUAUCAAGAGGAACACCAGUGGCGAAGGCGAGUCCCUGGACAACACCUGACACUGAGGCACGAAAGCUAGGGGAGCAAACAGG